rnacentral:lncRNA from 1 species
CAAAAAUUCUCAUUCCAUCUUGUCCAACGCACCAGCACUCAUGAGCCUUCUUUUCUUGUCACCCUGGCUGCUCUCACAUCUUCCCACCUGCCUUCCAUCCCUUGGAUGGUGAAGGCUGAGAACCUGUGGGCAGGAGCCGAGUCUUGUGCACUUCUGUCUCCCAGUGCCGGGCUUGUGCCAGGAGUCGAUAAAUGCAUUGUGUCAACUAAGAUAUUAAAGAAUAGCGUUGAGCCACUAGGCACUCCUGCCGAGUUCAAAGGAGAGGGCGCUUCAGUCAGACAGCAAAUGAAAGCAAGAAACUGAAGCAUACAGAGAUAAGCAACCCGCCAGGCUUCAAGUGCCAGAACUGGGAUCCAACCCAAGCAAUCUCAUUCCUCAACUUUAUAGUGAUUACAAUUAUUGAUGUUGUUAUGUAUUCUCAAUUACUAAGGGGAAAGAAGAACACAUUAUUUCCUAGUCAAAGUCUCCACAGCCGAAACAAGUGUAAAGUUGUUGCGGUUAAGCAGGGCCCUGAUUAUAGUAAGAUCUUUUCUGUAUUACACAGAUUUCACCCAGAUCACCAGCAUUUGUCAGUAAAUUCUCUUUUCCCAAGCCUACAAGCUCACCUCUAGGGCAUGCUUUAUUUCCCUCUAGCUGAACACUGCCUGCUAGGCCACUCUUGGAGGAAAGAGACAGAAAUGUUCAUGAGACCACUCAGGGUUUGCUGGACCAGGUGCCUCAAAGUCCAAGUAGCACUGACAGCAACUUUCCCCAGCAUCACACUCAUCCCCGCAGCCCUGGCCUCUCUGGCCACAGUCCAGGUACCCCUCCUCAGUCUUUCUGCUACUCUCUGCAGUAUUUGAGCCCCAAGAGGGUCAAACAGGCCUCACACCUAUUCGCGUAAUCCUUCUCUGCCCCGGUAAUCAGGGCUUCCACUUGUGGAGAGCCUACUGUGUGCCAGAUGCCAUUUCAGGCAAUUAACACAUCUUAUGUCAUUUAAUUCUCAUGGCAACCCUGAAAUCAUCCUCUCCACUUUACAAAGGGGAAGCUGAGCCUUGGGGAGUUUAAAUAACCUCCUCAUUUUGCAUCUCAUGCCCGUCUCCUCCCUCUGACCUAAGAGCUUAAAGAUAGCUACUGGGGGUGGGGGGGGGGUUCCAUGACAUCCCUUUUCUCUCCCCAAAUCACAGUCUGUUUGGAUGCCUGUUUCUGGGCUCACAGCGCAGAGGCUGGUCAAUGCUCCUGUCACCCUGUGUUAGAAUCACAGAUACCAUUUCCUGGCUUUCCCACUGGAAUUGAAGCUCCAGUGUACAUGCAAAAGCUAACAGGGCAUCCAUGAAUUAAUAAACAAGUGAACAAAUGCACACAGAGGUCACAUAGAAGUCAUACGUGUGGUGGUAAAGCACAAACUUGCAAGCAGACUGCCUGGUGCCUAUCUGGCUCUCUAUGCCAACUGUGUGACUCUAGACUAGUAGCCUAAUCCCUCUGGGCCUCAUUUUUCAUCAUAUACAAAGUGGAGACAAUGGCAACUGCCCCAUUAGGUUGUAAAGAGCAUUAAACAAGUUAACAUAUAUCAACUUUUAAAAAGUGUCUGGCAUGUAACAAGACAUCAAUAAAGAGUAACGACUCUUACUAUACCUUGUCAUUAUCCUCAUCAUCAGAGCUUUACCAGGCAAAGCCAACCUUGAAGUCCACGUAGUUGCCUUGCUUUGGGGAAAAAGAAUUAUCAAAAUUAUGAUCCUGGAAGAAAAAUUAAAUAACUCAAUUAAAGCACUGUGAAAAUAGAACUUGAAAAAAAUGUAGACCUGCCCUUGACGGUGCUCAGGAAAAGAAAUAGAAGAGCCCAUCACUGCUUCUUAGGUGGGCUGCCCAGCAUGGUUCUUGGGGUGACCAAGGAGUGACAAGCCACAGGGCUACAGAACAGGUACAAGCCUGAGUGGGGCCUGCUCCUCUUACCCUCUCCUUUUCACCUCAGAAUCCUCCUUCUUGCCUAAGGCCAGAGAGUCCAGUGGGUGAUGAGGAGAGAGCCUGGGCUGAACCACAUGGGCCACAUUGCUGUGCCCCCAGACAUCAUUAGCCAUUCCAUAAAGACAUCAUUAGUCAUAGCAGAUAGGCCAAACCCACCACUACUGUUGGAAACCAACUCCACAGACAUAUUUUCAAGAGUCUUCAGCAAUGUCAUUCUCAUACCUAAGAAACAGUGACUCCUCUCUAGGUCAAGCCAGUGGCCUGCUCCAGGGCACUCACUGUGGAUCCCUCCUCUGGGCCCAGCCCCUGCCUAGGAGGCCCUUUCUUCUCCAUUCCACCUUCAAAGGCCUUUUCCAUUCCCUACAGCUCAGGUCCAGUCACUGGUGUUUCUCCCACUCUCUGGCUUCUCUGAAAUGCCCAGCAAGCACCUGGCCAGCACAGUUCUGGAACUCUUCACACCUGUGACCUGCAUCUCCUUGUAGAGCACGAGUUGUUCCGGCCCAAUGCCUAUCAGUUAUUUUUCCAACACUGGGCUGCAAAUGUGGCAGGCCCUUAAAAAAAUAUGUGUAGACUAAAAGAUAAGAUUCAGUGGGUAAUGAAAUAACCCAGUGAUGCCCAAAGAAGGUUUGGGGCUAAAAUCAAGUUCAUGUAAUGCUGAGCGUUCAGAAAAUCGUUUUUCGUGUUUCUAGUGGAAAUAGCUUAUGGAAUGCUUUUAUCACUUAAAUUUUGUUGGGUUUAUUUUUUUCACAGAGUAUUUUACCUCUGUUCGCCAUGUGUGAAGGAAUAACUGUAACUCUGUGGUCUAUGGGAGAGCUAGCUCCAAGCUAAAGUCCAAAAUGAUGAAGUCAAGCACAAGAAGAUAUUUUGAGCUCUAACGAGUUUUGGGGGGGAAAGCUCACAUAAUUCACCAGUGUUCCACAUGGCUGUUUUUUCCUACUCAGAGCCCUUCUUACUUAGAUGAAAAAUACAGAUAAUACACUGACACAUGCCCCAGCUGACUAGAUUCAAAGAUGUUAUCCUGUUCCAUAAUGGGAAAAAAAAAUCAAGUAAACAUAGAGAGUGUAAUAGAUUACCCAGUUUUAACCAUUGUUUUUUAAAGUUUCUUUUUUGGAGGUGGGCAGGAUUCUACAUAAGAUUUUAUAUUCAUUAAAAAGUGAUCUGAAAAUACUGUGAUCAAAUUUUUUAAAAAGAGAAUAUUGGUUUAAUGAUCUCUUUCAAGUUUAGUUAUUCAGCUGCAACUUGACUUCCAAGUGCACUUAACUCAUUAUCACUCUUGUAGGGUAACACUUCUUUAUAAAUGCUCAAAACACUCAGAUCCUGAAAAGGGUGGCUUAAUGAGGGUGGAGUGUGGUAACUGUAGUCAAAUCCGCCUAUUUAGUAUAAGCGAUUUACAUUUUGAUAAUCAAUGGAAUUAAGUGAUCUUGAAAGAAUAACAAUUUUGCUUAGUUGUCUCUAUAAUUCCAGAUACGGACUUCAUUCUUACCAUUGCUCCCUUGUAUAGAGUUUUAGAUAUUUUGAUGUAUAGCUAUUAGAAGUUGUUAAAGAUAAACAAAUGAAACGCUUGUUGUUCCCACUUCACGUUGUAAUUAUUCCUCCUGCCUUAUGAAUAAGUGCAAAGAGAAUAUCAAAAGUCAGAGGAGAUUCUACUGCUCACAAACACUACCAACUUCCUGUUAACACGAGUCAGAAAGUUGGAUUGAGUGACUCUUCUGAUGCAAAGCUGAUUAUUUAUUUGAAAAAGGUAACAUUCUUGUUUUCUGCAAUUAACUAUUUUAUUGAAGAGCAACAGGCAUGGAAGAAUCACACACCUAUGGUGAUUUUUUUCAAAGAAAACAAUUAGUACCCAUAUCAAAAAAGCUAAUUCACAUUAAUUAAAGAACACCCACAUCAGUUAAAUAUAAUAACCUCCCCUUUCACUUAACUUGCUGUAUACAAUGUGUUGCUUAAAAGUACUGGGCUUCAAGAUAAUAAAGAAUGACAGUUGAAGGGUCUGGAACUUAGAGAAAAACUUUAGGGUCUGUAACCAUUUUAAUUGCACAUAAUUAUGGAUAAGGAAGUGGAACAAUUUAAUUUCUGGGCCUUCAUGCUAUUAGAAGGCUAACAGAACAGUAUCAAAAUUAGUUAUUCAAGUAAAAUUGCAAGAAGCUGUUUUUCAUUUCAAAGUAUAAAUGGAAACUAAGUGGAAUGAUGACUAACUUUUGUUCCAUCUUUUCACUUAUAUGACACAAUGGUGAUUCAAGAUCUGGUGGAAAUUAUUUAUGGAGAUUUGGAACAAGUAAAGUAAAAUACAUUUUUAAAUAUUCGUUUUAUUUUUUUAUUUUAGAAAAUAUAGAAAAUUAUGAUGAAGAAAAUAAAAAUCCAUCCUAAUGUGUGCAGAAUGUCUCUAGAAGGGAACACAAGAAACUUGUAAUGGUUGCAUGAGGGGAAGGAUCUGGUUGUGUGGAGGGUAGGCAUUGGAAGGAGUCUUAGCUUUGACUAAAUACUUUUUAUUAUGUUAGACUUUUUUUUAAUUAAAUUAAAUUAAGUCUUUAGGAAAUUACCCAUAAUCUCACCAAUCAAAGAUUAGACUGUUAACAUUGAGGUAUACUUCCAACACUUUCCUAUGGACUAACAUUCUAUUUCUCUCUUAUAAAAUUGGGCUCACUAUAUAUUUUAUAGCCUAUUACAUGCUGAGCUUUCCCUGUGUUAUUAAACAUUCUUCUUAAGCUUGAUUAUUAACAGGCUAAUAGUGUUCAUUUGUGGAUGAAUCAAUUAUUUAAUUAAAUCCUCUCUUGUUGGGCAUUUAGAUUAUCUUUCAUUUUCCAAUGAUGUAAAUAGCUCUGCAGUGAACAUCCUUGUUCUUCACCCUUUCUACGCUCUCCUGAGUAUAGUUGACCCUUGAACGAUGCAGGAGUUAGGGGUGCUGACCCCUGCACAGUUGAAAAUCUAUGUAUAACUUUCGACUCCCCCAAAACUUAACUACCAAUAGCCUACUGUUGACCGGAAGAUUUACCAAUAACGUAAACAGUCAAUAAAUACAUAUUUUAUAUGUUACAUAUAUAAAUACAUGCAUACAUAUACUGUAUUCUUACAAUAAAGUAAGCUAGAGAAAAACAAAAUGUUAUUAAGAAAAUUAUAAGGAAGAGAAAAUAUAUUUUUACUAUGUAUUAAGUGGAAGUGGAUCAUUAUCAAGGUCAUCACCCUCAUUUUCCUCAUGUUGAGUUGCCUGAGGAGGAGGAAAGGGAGGGGUUGGUCUUACUGUCUCAGGAGUGGCAGGGGCAAAAGAAAAUCCACAUAUAAAUAGACCCACACGGUUCAAACCCAUGUUGUUCAAGGAUCAACUGCAUUUUCAUAAGAAACAUUUUAUAGAAGUUGAAUUACCAAGUCCAACAGAUAAACAUUCUAGAGCUUUUGAUACGUAUUGCCAAAAUGCCCUCUAGGAAGAGAUUAUCAGUUUCUACUCUUAUAGCAAUAUAUAGGAAUGCCCUUUUCAGGGCACCCUUCCCACACCGGGGAGAGACAUUAGGGGAAGGCAUGUGUGCAAAUUGGGUCUAAUGAAAUUUUCAAAUAAAAAUAGAGAUUUCUGCAAAUAUUUUAUUCCAAAUUUUGGGUGUUGUAGAGAUGCUGCCAUAGUUAAUUCUACAAAAUACAUUUCUCCCUUUAGGGCUUCCAGUGAAGUGGAGUGGUUUCUAAACUUCCCUAACAGAAGGCCAGGACUUCUCAAAUGCCAAGAAUUGGUUCUGUGCCUUGAAAGCUGACAAUAUUUUGUAAACCACAAAGUGUUGCAAAGCAGGAAGUCUUGUCAAUUCAUCACCCAAAUCUCUUUGACACAGAUUUGGGGGAUGAGUUUAUGAUUUUAUGAGAGAGCUUAUGAUUGAGGGUUGUACGCAACCUCCAGUGAUUCAACUUCCCCAGGGUCAUCCUGUUCAAUAUGAGGUCUCACCUCCCUGAACUGGUGUCACUAGCUCCAACCUCCCGUUUUGGGAGGUGCAACAAACCAGCAUAGGACAUUGGAUGUAGUCCCCUUCAGACAUUUACCAGAAAUAAUCCUAACCUGCUUUUAGCUUAGAACUAAAACAUAUGCCUUUAUGACAACACAGGCACUUAUACAGAAUUUAGAAAUUAUAGACAAGCACAAAGAAAAUAGAUAUCGCCUUUAAUUCCACCACACAGAGAUAAUCUCUGUUAAUAUUUCAGUAUGUUGUUGGUAAUCAAUAUCCCAUCUUUUGUGCAUAUGCAGAUUCUUAUUUUGUAAACAUGAGACACUAUUAUGCUUUCUGUGUUGUAACCUCCUUUUUCACUUAAUAUAUCAUGAACUAUUUUCCAGGUUAUUAAAUAUGUGACAAAAAUGUCUUUGAUUCCUUUAUAAUAUUCUGUCACAUACUAUAAAGUUCCUCUGUGAUUUUGCAAUAAAUUAACUUGUUUUGUCACUAUACAGACGUAGCUUUUUUAAAAAAAAAUCAACUCCUAAUAUUUAUUUUUAAAUUUGUUUGUGAAGGUAGAAACUCUCCUACCCAUCAGUAUAACAUAUAGCAAAUGCCCCAGGCAUGUGCAAUGGCUCAUGAGCUAAACCCAGAGUCCUUUGAAAAGACUAGAUAAGAGUAAGACUCCUGUAAUCCCAGCACUUUGGGAGGCCGAGGCGGG